CAAUAGCGUAUAUUAAAGUUGUUGCAGUUAAAAAGCUCGUAGUUGGAUUUCUGAUCGAGACAUCAGGUCGGGUCCGAGAGGAUCAUGUACUUUGAUUUUGUUUUGAUCAUCCUUGGGGAGAGCAUUUCUGGCAUUCAGUUGUCGGGAUUGGGAUCCUCAUCGUUUACUGUGAAAAAAUUAGAGUGUUCAAAGCAGGCCUCGGCCUCUGAAUACAUUAGCAUGGAAUAAUAAGAUAGGACUUUGGUGGUCUAUUUUGUUGGUCUGCACGCCAAAGUAAUGAUUAAUAGGGAUAGUUGGGGGUAUUCGUAUUCAAUUGUCAGAGGUGAAAUUCUUGGAUUUAUGGAAGACGAACUACUGCGAAAGCAUUUACCAAGGAUGUUUUCAUUAA
rnacentral:rRNA from 1 species